GGGCGUUUCCGAUUAUGUAUAUAUAUGCAAUUCAUAACAUAAAAAUCUUGAUCAGGGUGGUAAGUUUACAUCUUCUGCUUAUUACGCCUAUUCCUGUUCUCUUUUUCUUCUCAAUGUUCUCAUCAUUUUUUUUCGUCGUCAAUGUUAUUCAAUUACAGAGUUUUCAUCUAAAACUAAAUCAUGGCAUCCUUUGAUCAACAUAAACUCAAAGAGAUUCAGAAAGAAAUAACUAGGAUCGCUAGGAGUUUGAGGCUUAAUCUUUUGCUCUCAAAACCUUUCUAUGUCGCAUUACGAUCCAUUAGAUUUAAACACAACAAUAUUUUCAAGUAUACGGCUAUACCCGUAACUGCUACAUAAUUCUAAUUCAUCAAGAAAAAUAUUAUGUGUCUGUAUUUUUCUUUGUAUUUUUCGACUUUUCUUCUUCUCUGACGUAGUUCCUUAAUUUAAUUAUGUUGGUUCUGGGUUGUUGAUUUUUUUCAGGUUUGUUUUACAUGUUCAAUGUAGAAUCAAAAACAUAUGCAACUUUUUUAGGGUUGUAGUAAUCGCAUUGAUGUCCGUUAGGUAUUAAGAUUGAUUUGUUUUUUUUUUCUAUUUGUAAUUUGAUUGGUUAAUGUAAAGCAUAUCUUCUUCAUCAUCUUAUCAAGCAGGAUGGAAAAUUUUUAAGCCUUUGAUCAACAAACAAGAUUGAAAUCAACGCAGGGCAAGCUUUUUAUACUUCUUAAUUGGACUUUUACAUUCUGUUUUGGUAUGUCCAGUCGAUCAAAGGCUUAGAAAUUCUAGGAUUUAGCAGAAUCGAGUAACGUGUAUAUGUAUCUUCGACGGUACUAAUGUGGAGCACGCCUUUUAAUCAAAAUUUUGUUAUAUCCAGCAGAAUGAAGAUUUUGCAAUUGGAUGAAGGUAAGAGUGAAGCAGAAGGUGACAACAUUGGGUUGCAAGAUGGGAGGAGAAAACCUAUUAUUUGAAAUACAUUCACAAGAUGGCAGUAUUCACAACUAGGAGGAGUUGGAAGAAAAAAAACCUCUUGAUGAUGUUAAAAGUGAUUAAUUGCGGCACACAUUUUUUCGACCUCGAGUUGACAGCAUCUGCACUCAUGUGUUUCUCGAAACAAGCCUUAAAGAUUCCAGGUAUACUCAACGUUCAAAGUAAUCCUUAAAGAUUCCUGGUAUACCUGCUAUCAGAAUCAUUUCAGCACAACACCUGUACAGCUAUACUACAAUAUGCAUAUGCAAACUUAGAAAUUUUCAAUUAAAUUGAUUAAUCCUAAGAGAAUUGUUUCAUAAAAACAUUGAAAGACUUGAAGAUUUGAUUAGAUAA